GCGGGGGUGGUGGAAUUGGUAGACACGCUACCUUGAGGUGGUAGUGCCUAACGGCGUGAGAGUUCGAGUCUCUUCCCUCGUA
rnacentral:tRNA from 1 species